rnacentral:rRNA from 1 species
AGCGAACGCUGGCGGCAGGCUUAACACAUGCAAGUCGAGCGGGCACUUCGGUGUCAGCGGCAGACGGGUGAGUAACACGUGGGAACGUACCCUUUGGUUCGGAAUAACGCCGGGAAACUAGCGCUAAUACCGGAUACGCCCUUUUGGGGAAAGGCUUGCUGCCGAAGGAUCGGCCCGCGUCUGAUUAGCUAGUUGGUGGGGUAAUGGCCUACCAAGGCGACGAUCAGUAGCUGGUCUGAGAGGAUGAUCAGCCACACUGGGACUGAGACACGGCCCAGACUCCUACGGGAGGCAGCAGUGGGGAAUAUUGGACAAUGGGCGCAAGCCUGAUCCAGCCAUGCCGCGUGAGUGAUGAAGGCCUUAGGGUUGUAAAGCUCUUUUGUCCGGGACGAUAAUGACGGUACCGGAAGAAUAAGCCCCGGCUAACUUCGUG